rnacentral:rRNA from 1 species
CCUACGGGAGGCAGCAGUGGGGAAUAUUGGACAAUGGGCGAAAGCCUGAUCCAGCAAUGCCGCGUGAGUGAUGAAGGCCUUAGGGUUGUAAAGCUCUUUUACCAGGGAUGAUAAUGACAGUACCUGGAGAAUAAGCUCCGGCUAACUCCGUGCCAGCAGCCGCGGUAAUACGGAGGGAGCUAGCGUUGUUCGGAAUUACUGGGCGUAAAGCGUACGUAGGCGGUUAUUCAAGUCAGAGGUGAAAGCCCGGGGCUCAACCCCGGAACUGCCUUUGAAACUAGAUAGCUAGAAUCUUGGAGAGGUUAGUGGAAUUCCGAGUGUAGAGGUGAAAUUCGUAGAUAUUCGGAAGAACACCAGUGGCGAAGGCGACUAACUGGACAAGUAUUGACGCUGAGGUACGAAAGCGUGGGGAGCAAACAGGAUUAGAUACCCUGGUAGUCCACGCCGUAAACGAUGAUAACUAGCUGUUCGGGCACUUGGUGCCUGAGUGGCGCNGCUACGACAUUAAGUUAUACCGUCCGUCGGGAGGUACGGUCGCGAGAAGUAAACGUAACGAAAGAAAGUUAGACGGUCGUGAGACGUUGUCCGACGGACGACGACGAGGGAGGAGG